UUAAGUAAGGAAGGGCGUACGGCGAAUGCCUUGCCACUCGAAACUGAAGAAGGACGCGCCAAACUGCGAAAAGCUCCGUGAAGCUGUAAGGAAGCGAAGAAGCGGAGGUGUCCGAAUGGGGGAACCCGGCAGCAGACAUGAGCUGUCAUCUGCAGGUGAAUACAUGGCCUGCAAGAGAGGUACCCGGCGAACUGAAACAUCUAAGUAGCCGGAGGAAAAGAAAACAACAGUGAUUCCCUGAGUAGCGGCGAGCGAAAGGGGAGAAGCCCAAACCGGUUGAAGGACCGGGGUUGAAGGACCAUGACAUGGCAAGAACGAGGAUAGGAGAACGGGAUCGAAAGCCCGGCCGAAGAAGGUGAAAGCCCUGUAACCGAAAUCCGAGUAAAGCCUAAUGGGAUCCUGAGUACGGCGAGACACGAGGAAUCUUGUCGGAAGCAGGCGGGACCAUCCGCCAAGGCUAAAUAUAAACGAGUGAGCGAUAGUGAACCAGUACCGUGAGGGAAAGGUGAAAAGAACCGCGGGAGCGGAGUGAAAGAGAACCUGAAACCGUAUGCCUACAAGAAGUCAGAGCCCGUUAAGGGGUGAUGGCGUGCCUUUUGUAGAAUGAACCGGCGAGUUGCGACAGACUGCGAGGUUAAGGAGGAAAGACCGGAGCCGAAGCGAAAGCGAGUCUUAAGAGGGCGAAAGUAGGAUGUUGCAGACCCGAAACCGGGUGAUCUAGCCAUGAGCAGGUUGAAGUUGAGGUGAAACUCAAUGGAGGACCGAACCGACUACCGUUGAAAAGUUAGCGGAUGACUUGUGGCUAGGGGAGAAAUUCCAAUCGAACCCGGAGAUAGCUGGUUCUCCCCGAAAUAGCUUUAGGGCUAGCGUCGGAAAGAACCUUAGUGAAGGUAGAGCACUGAAUGUGUGAUGGCCCCAUCCCGGGGUACUGAAUACAAUCAAACUGCGAAUGUCAUUAAGGAUGUCCGGCAGUCAGACUGUGAGUGAUAAGGUCCAUGGUCAAGAGGGAAACAGCCCAGACCGCCAGUUAAGGUCCCAAAAUACAGGCUAAGUGGAAAAGGAUGUGGGGAUGCCCAGACAACUAGGAGGUUGGCUCAGAAGCAGCCAUCCUUUAAAGAGUGCGUAACAGCUCACUAGUCGAGUGACCCUGCGCCGAAAAUGUACCGGGGCUAAGCCUGAUACCGAAACUGCGGAUUGUAGGAAACUAUAGUGGUAGGGGAGCGUUGUAUACGAGCAGAAGCCGUACCGUGAGGAGCGGUGGAUUGUAUAGAAGUGAGAAUGCCGGUGUGAGUAGCGAGAUGUAGGUGAGAAUCCUACACACCGAAAGCCCAAGGAUUCCAGGGGAAGGUUCGUCCGCCCUGGGUAAGUCGGGACCUAACGCGAGGCCGAAAGGCGUAGUGGAUGGAAAGCAGGCGAAAGAUUCCUGCACCCGUAUAUGGAGCGAAGGAGUGACGGAGACGGAUAGUGUGACCCUCUUAAUGGAUUGAGGGCGAAGCGAAGCGGCUGGUUACCAGGCAAAUCCGGUAACCAAAAGGCUAGAGCGUGACAGGUAAGCGAAAUCUUAGGAAAGUAGCGAAGCACAUGAUGACGGCUUCCAGGAAAAGCUUCUGGCAAUGCAUAUGCGGCCCGUACCAAAACCGACACAGGUGGGCAGGGAGAGAAUCCCGAGGUGAGCGAGAGAACUGUUGCCAAGGAACUCGGCAAAAUGACUCCGUAAGUUAGCGAGAAGGAGUGCUUAAGCAAUUAAGCCGCAGUGAAGAGGCCCAAGCGACUGUUUAACUAAAACACAGCUCUCUGCGAAGUCGCAAGACGAAGUAUAGGGGGUGACACCUGCCCGGUGCUGGAAGGUUAAGAGGAUCUGUUAAGAGCGAUCUGAAGCAGUGAUCCGAAGCCCCAGUGAACGGCGGCCGUAACUAUAACGGUCCUAAGGUAGCGAAAUUCCUUGUCAGGUAAGUUCUGACCCGCACGAAAGGUGUAACGAUUUGGGCGCUGUCUCGGCAGCAGACUCGGUGAAAUCUUAGUACCUGUGAAAAUGCAGGUUACCCGCAACUAGACGGAAAGACCCCAUGGAGCUUUACUGCAGCCUGAUAUUGAAUUCUGGUCAUACAUGUACAGGAUAGGUGGGAGACAAAGAGACGUGCACGCCAGUGUACGAGGAGUCGACGUUGGGAUACCACUCUUGUGUGACCGGGGUUCUAACCUGGUAUCGAGAACAGGUACGGGGAGAGUGUCAGGUGGGCAGUUUGACUGGGGCGGUCGCCUCCCAAAGAGUAACGGAGGCGCCCAAAGGUACGCUCAGAUUGGAUGGAAACCAAUCGUCGAGUGCAAUUGCAGAAGCGUGCUUGACUGUGAGACAGACAAGUCGAACAGGGACGAAAGUCGGGAAUAGUGAUCCGGCGGUGCCGAAUGGAAGGGCCGUCGCUCAACGGAUAAAAGCUACCCUGGGGAUAACAGGCUGAUCU
rnacentral:rRNA from 1 species